AGGCACGAUAACAGAGCUAUCCAUACGGGCAGUGUCAGUAUUUUCAUGCUGACGACAAAAAUCUCCUGAACUAUUUACUCUUGAGAAGCCGGCACCUCUCCCAAGCACAGCAUUGCUGUGGUCGAUGUAUUCAUCUUCCAGACACCUGAAUAUGGAAAGGAAUGCAAAACACCCAGAAAAAGCAGAACCUGUCAGUCACCCCACAGCGGCUGUUGACAUCUGAAAGGAUGGAUGCAGAAUUCAAGCGCAGCCAUCUUCAUCCAGUCUCUCGUGUGCACAAUUUACAGAAGCAGCUGCUACCUGAGAAAUGAACAAAUAGCACUUCCAAAUACUCUUGGAAGAAACAAAGGCAUUUGAACCAUUUGCACAACAUAGAAGCUCUCCAGCGCAAGUUUUUAAAGGGCUGGAGGCUUGCUGGGGAAGCUUUGAGGAGAGGGAGUAAUAAAGAAAAGAGGGUUUUAUGAUGAAAGGUCGAAUGGGAAACUUUUAUUGGAGGGGCUUGGCCAGCUCCUCAUCCCAUGGGGGAAAGGAGGAGGAAUUUGAAUGUGGUGUUUUUGCUUUUGGAAGGUCAAAGCUAUUCCAUGCAACUGCAAAGCAGCAUAAAAGAAAUACACUUAUUCCUCUGUCAUGUCUGUCAAAAAUGGAGGAGGGGAGGAAGUCCCAAACACUACAUUUCAACAAAGCCCUGAAGGUAAAAAUGAUCCGCUGGCUUGAAAUUUAUCUUAAUGAGCAAAAUCCAGCCAAUGGAACAGGGUGCAGAUGAAAGUGACAGAUGGGAUCAUUUAAAGUUUGAUUCUUUGCAUGAAAGAAAACAUUUUCAAUAACUUAUUUUUCUUCUGUUUGUUACAGUGUUCUGUUUAGUGUCACAGCCUCCAAUUGGCAGUCCCAGCUCUUUGGCAGAUUAAUUUAUCUGGGGUCAUAUCCUCAGUUUUUGAAAAUUCAGAGUUUGAGGGAGCUCCUGGAACUCCUCAGCUCACAUAAGCAUGUGGAGCUGGUCCAACAGUCAGUGGCAAGUCUCUCCAGCCAAGAGAUUUUUGCUAGAUAGGGACUGAGACCCCAAGUCUGAAGCUGUCCAAGAUCAGUCUGCUAAGAGUAUGAACAGUCAUCAAUCAGGUAGUCUGGAAGAGUAUACAGAAGUGUUUCAAUUUGUUCCCAAGUAUUUUCAGACACAAACAACUACAAGGAUUUACCACUGCUAUAUAAAAAUAUAGUCUGGGACCUAGUCAGGUUCAUAAAAGUUCUGUGAAGCUGGAGGAUGCAUUUCCUUGUAGGAGAUGUGCUGAAUUUUGAUGCUGAGAGGUGCUGUUGUACACUCCUUAGAGCACAGCAUCAUACUGUUACAUGUCACUUAUCCUUAACAGGGGAAGAUAGGCAGGAGAAGGAAUGGAAUCAGUCCUAUGCAAUAAAAUAAUUGCUGUCUUCACCAUUUCCUUGCACAGGUAAUUCAUGUUGCUGUAAUGUACUGUAAUGCAGCAUCGGUACAGCAUGGUGCAUACGCAACAUCAGCAGACCCUGCCACCCUCGGCUGAGCAGGAACAAAAGCAUUAACCCUCUCUCCUCUGUCCACUUAUUUCCCGAUUAGAUCAAUUAGCAGUUAACAAAGGUCCAAGACAAGGAAGAGGUCAUCUGUUAGCUCCUCUUAUUUAAGCAUUCUUUGGUGAGAUUUUACAAAACAGAAGGCAAAUGCUCGAUUGUGCAACUCCCCAGCCUGGAGGACAAAUUGCUCCAGUUGGCACCAGGGGGAAGAGGGGAAGCUAGGGCUGUGGUGGGGCUGCUGCUGGUCCCCAGCCACCCCUCCUGGGGCCCUGCAGCAUCCCAAACCUACCUCAAACUGCUGAGCAGGAGGCUCGGACAGAGAAGGGGCAGUCUGCACUGCUCACCAGCCAGAGGGGUGACUGCAGCACAGAGUGGGUACCAUCUCUAGCAGCUCCUCAAAAUACAACUCUCUUGUCCAGGGCGAGGUUGGACCUGACCAGGGGUUGCUAACUGCACGUGCCCUCCCUGCCAUGCUGCUCAGUCAGCUAGGAAGAGAAGAAAGUCAUUGCAAGGAAUUUCUUCAGCUGUAUUCCAACAGCAGAUUAAAAUAGCUGCUACUAUUUUAAUCUGGAGAAGUGGCAGCUACUGCACAUGCAGGACUGGCAGCAAGCUUGUCUCCCACAAAGUCGGGAUUCAAAGAGUGUUCUGUGUCUAUGAUAAUGCAACCACAGGGUGUAGCCAGCAGACCAGCCCUGGUAAAACAUGGCCCUGGGACCAUCUGACCCAACUGGCUAGAAUUUGGGAUCAGGAGGAAGAAAUUCAAGCUUCCUGUUUUUUUUUUAUUUGUUUUUUUCCUUUUAGUUAUUGCAAAGUGUUGUAAUACUGAAAACCCUAAACAUUCUCAGGAAGCAACAAGACAGUGUUGUGCUCAAUAUUCUGUAUUUACAUACAACUCAGCCAAGGUUUGUUUGCUGAAAUGUGUGUGGUAACAUCCAGAUUUUAAAUACUGAUUUUUAUUUUAUUCCAGAAGUUUCAGUGUAAUAUGGCAUGAAUAUUCUGUUUCCUUGUGGAUUUGUGAUGGCAGAGGAGGAAGACAGAGAGAAAGGUAACUGCAAGAACCCAUCUGUGGAAAUUUGAGACCUUCCUGUGAUUUUUUGCUUCUGCAUGUGAUCCCCUCUCAGGCAGGUUAAUCCCCCAAGACUGUGGUGCCUGAAUUCAGCAUCAGUUUCAAGAAGCAAAUAUUUAUCCUGCAUCCUAGGUGCAAUCUGUACACAAAAUGACUCCAAAUUAAGUAAAAUCGAUAUUAACUACU